rnacentral:rRNA from 1 species
AGAGUUUGAUCAUGGCUCAGAGCGAACGCUGGCGGCAGGCCUAAUACAUGCAAGUCGAACGGCUCUUCGGAGCAGUGGCGGACGGGUGAGUAACGCGUGGGAACGUGCCCUUUGGUUCGGAACAACACAGGGAAACUUGUGCUAAUACCGAAUGUGCCCUUCGGGGGAAAGAUUUAUCGCCAUUGGAGCGGCCCGCGUUGGAUUAGCUAGUUGGUGGGGUAAAGGCCCACCAAGGCUACGAUCCAUAGCUGGUCUGAGAGGAUGAUCAGCCACACUGGGACUGAGACACGGCCCAGACUCCUACGGGAGGCAGCAGUAGGGAAUCUUGCGCAAUGGGCGAAAGCCUGACGCAGCCAUGCCGCGUGAAUGAUGAAGGUCUUAGGAUUGUAAAAUUCUUUCACCGGGGAAGAUAAUGACGGUACCCGGAGAAGAAGCCCCGGCUAACUUCGUGCCAGCAGCCGCGGUAAUACGAAGGGGGCUAGCGUUGCUCGGAAUUACUGGGCGUAAAGGGCGCGUAGGCGGACAUUUAAGUCAGAGGUGAAAGCCCAGGGCUCAACCUUGGAAUUGCCUUUGAUACUGGAUGUCUUGAGUUCGGGAGAGGUGAGUGGAAUGCCGAGUGUAGAGGUGAAAUUCGUAGAUAUUCGGCGGAACACCAGUGGCGAAGGCGGGUCUCUGGGCAGUAACUGACGCUGAGGAGCGAAAGCGUGGGGAGCGAACAGGAUUAGAUACCCCGGUAGUCCAA